UACGAAGGGGGCUAGCGUUGCUCGGAAUCACUGGGCGUAAAGGGUGCGUAGGCGGGUCUUUUAAGUCAGGGGUGAAAUCCUGGAGCUCAACUCCAGAACUGCCUUUGAUACUGAAGAUCUUGAGUUCGGGAGAGGUGAGUGGAACUGCGAGUGUAGAGGUGAAAAUUCGUAGAUAUUCGCAAGAACACCAGUGGCGAAGGCGGCUCACUGGCCCGAUACUGACGCUGAGGCACGAAAAGCGUGGGGAGCAAACAGGG
rnacentral:rRNA from 1 species